GUGUACAGUGCCUUUCACAAGGAGGUGUCAUUUAUGUGAACUAAAAUAUAAAUGUCACCUUUUUGAGAGGAGUAAUGUACAGCA
ensembl:miRNA MIR513B microRNA 513b